rnacentral:lncRNA from 1 species
ACUCACAUAUACUACAUGUUGAUGCUUGUCAUCUUGUUCGUUACAUACUACAUAGGCAGAGGCUACGUGUACCGUGGUCAAAUCAAAUAAUAUAAGACUCUAUAUGUAUCAGAUCGGGCUAAGGAUGCUGCUCAUCUUCUUGUCUUUCAGUGUAGUACGUACGCCGCGUCGGAUGUUGUGUCCUGUCCAUAUGUAUGUGUCGCCUCGGACGGUGGCCCUUCCUUCCUUGUGCCUGGCGGUCACACAGUGGUCAAACUAGUUCAAGUUUUGUUCCUUUUAAUUCAAAAAGUAAGGUGAAACUACUAGUAAAUAAAUGGAGCUUAUCACUGAAAACUGAAUGGCACCUCAGUCAGGUUAGUUUCAGGUUCUGAGACUGAAUGCAUGUCGUGCCUGUCCUCAUACUGUGAGACCCAAAGUAAACCAAUCUUAACCAGGGAACAUCACGCGUCACGACUGCUGUCAUGGAACACCGACACCGUACAUGGAAACAAAGAAACUUCCAGGCAGCCUCCAUGGACAGAGCCAUAAACUCAAAUGGCAGCACCGUCGACGGCGAACGAUACCUUUUUGAUAACUAGCUUGAUUGACUGAAAUCCUUCACGUCCAUCA